rnacentral:rRNA from 1 species
CACGUAGGGUGCGAGCGUUGUCCGGAAUUAUUGGGCGUAAAGAGCUCGUAGGCGGUGUGUCACGUCGGCCGUGAAAACCUGCAGCUUAACUGUGGGCGUGCGGUCGAUACGGGCAUCACUGGAGUUCGGCAGGGGAGACUGGAAUCCCUGGUGUAGCGGUGAAAUGCGCAGAUAUCAGGAGGAACACCAAUGGCGAAGGCAGCUCGCUGGGACGGUACUGACGCUGAGGCGCGAAAGCGUGGGGAGCAAACAGG